rnacentral:rRNA from 1 species
AUUGAACGCUGGCGGCAUGCCUUACACAUGCAAGUCGAACGGCAGCGGACCUUCGGGUGCCGGCGAGUGGCGAACGGGUGAGUAAUAUAUCGGAACGUACCUUUCAGUGGGGGAUAGCGUAGCGAAAGUUACGCUAAUACCGCAUAUUCUGUGAGCAGGAAAGCAGGGGAUCGCAAGACCUUGCGCUGAUUGAGCGGCCGAUAUCAGAUUAGCUAGUUGGUGAGGUAAAGGCUCACCAAGGCGACGAUCUGUAGCGGGUCUGAGAGGAUGAUCCGCCACACUGGAACUGAGACACGGUCCAGACUCCUACGGGAGGCAGCAGUGGGGAAUUUUGGACAAUGGGCGCAAGCCUGAUCUAGCCAUGCCGCGUGAGUGAAGAAGGCCUCGG